rnacentral:rRNA from 1 species
AUUGAACGCUGGCGGCAGGCCUAACACAUGCAAGUCGAACGGUAACAGGAAGCAGCUUGCUGCUUUGCUGACGAGUGGCGGGCGGGGGGGGAAUGUCUGGGGAAAUGCCUGAUGGAGGGGGGUAACUACUGGGAACGGUAGCUAAUACCCCCUAACGUCGCCAGACCAAAGAGGGGGGCCUUCUGGCCUCUUGCCAUCGGAUGUGCCCAGAAGGGGUUAGCCAGUAGGGGGGGUAACGGCUCACCUAGGCGACGAUCCCUAGCUGGUCUGAGAGGAUGACCAGCCACACUGGAACUGAGACACGGUCCAGACUCCUACGGGAGGCAGCAGUGGGGAAUAUUGCACAAUGGGCGCAAGCCUGAUGCAGCCAUGCCGCGUGUAUGAAGAAGGCCUUCGGGUUGUAAAGUACUUUCAGCGGGGAGGAAGGGAGUAAAGUUAAUACCUUUGCUCAUUGACGUUACCCGCAGAAGAAGCACCGGCUAACUCCGUG